rnacentral:rRNA from 1 species
UACGUAGGUGGCAAGCGUUGUCCGGAUUUAUUGGGUUUAAAGGGUGCGUAGGCGGUCUAUUAAGUCAGCGGUGAAAUACUCCAGCUUAACUGGAGGGGUGCCAUUGAUACUGAUGGACUUGAGUUAAGUCGAGGUAGGCGGAAUUGACGGUGUAGCGGUGAAAUGCUUAGAUAUCGUCAAGAACACCAAUAGUGAAGACAGCUUACUGGGCUUAAACUGACGCUGAGGCACGAAAGUGUGGGGAUCAAACAGG